GACGAACGCUGGCGGCGUGGAUUAGGCAUGCAAGUCGAACGGUAGGAUACCUUCGGGUAUCUGAGAGUGGCGAACGGGUGAGUAACACGUAGGUGAUCUACCCUCAAGAUUGGGACAACCCAGGGAAACUUGGGCUAAUACCGGAUGAAAGCAGCAGUGAUGUUGUUUGAAAGGUGGCGUAAGCUGCCGUUUGGGGAUGAGCCUGCGCUCUAUUAGUUAGUUGGCGGGGUAAAGGCCCACCAAGGCGAUGAUAGAUAGGCGGCCUUAACGGGUGGUCGCCCACACUGGGAUUGAGAUACGGCCCAGACUCCUACGGGAGGCAGCAGUCGAGAAUAGUCUACAAUGGCCGAAAAGGCUGAUAGUGCGACGCCGCGUGAACGAAGAAGCCCUUCGGGUGUAAAGUUCUUUUAUAUGUGAGCAGUGCUUUCUAUGUGAACAGCAUGGGGAGAGGAGAUAUUAGCAUAAUGAAUAAGCAACGGCUAACUCCGUGCCAGC
rnacentral:rRNA from 1 species